AGUGAACGCUGGCGGUAGGCCUAACACAUGCAAGUCGAACGGCAGCACAGUAAGAGCUUGCUCUUACGGGUGGCGAGUGGCGGACGGGUGAGGAAUACAUCGGAAUCUACUUUUUCGUGGGGGAUAACGUAGGGAAACUUACGCUAAUACCGCAUACGACCUACGGGUGAAAGCAGGGGAUCUUCGGACCUUGCGCGAUUGAAUGAGCCGAUGUCAGAUUAGCUAGUUGGCGGGGUAAAGGCCCACCAAGGCGACGAUCCGUAGCUGGUCUGAGAGGAUGAUCAGCCACACUGGAACUGAGACACGGUCCAGACUCCUACGGGAGGCAGCAGUGGGGAAUAUUGGACAAUGGGCGCAAGCCUGAUCCAGCCAUACCGCGUGGGUGAAGAAGGCCUUCGGGUUGUAAAGCCCUUUUGUUGGGAAAGAAAAGCAGCAGGUUAAUACCCCGCUGUUCUGGCGGUACCCAAAGAAUAAGCACCGGCUAACUUCGUG
rnacentral:rRNA from 1 species